GACGAACGCUGGCGGCGUGCUUAACACAUGCAAGUCGAACGGAAAGGCCCUGCUUUUGUGGGGUGCUCGAGUGGCGAACGGGUGAGUAACACGUGAGUAACCUGCCCUUGACUUUGGGAUAACUUCAGGAAACUGGGGCUAAUACCGGAUAGGAGCUCCUGCUGCAUGGUGGGGGUUGGAAAGUUUCGGCGGUUGGGGAUGGACUCGCGGCUUAUCAGCUUGUUGGGGGGGUAGUGGCUUACCAAGGCUUUGACGGGUAGCCGGCCUGAGAGGGUGACCGGCCACAUUGGGACUGAGAUACGGCCGAGACUCCUACGGGAGGCAGCAGUGGGGAAUAUUGCACAAUGGGCGGAAGCCUGAUGCAGCAACGCCGCGUGCGGGAUGACGGCCUUCGGGUUGUAAACCGCUUUCGCCUGUGACGAAGCGUGAGUGACGGUAAUGGGUAAAGAAGCACCGGCUAACUACGUG
rnacentral:rRNA from 1 species